AUUGAACGCUGGCGGCAGGCUUAACACAUGCAAGUCGAACGAGUGGCGGACGGGUGAGUAAUGCUUGGGAAUCUCGCAUAUGGAGGGGGAUAACUACGGGAAAAUGUAGCUAAUACCGCGUUCCCGAGGAUGAGCCCAAGGGGGAUUAGGUAGUUGGUGGGGUAAAGGCUCACCAAGCCGACGACCUCUAGCUGGCCUGCGAGGAUUACCAGCCACACUGGGACUGAGACACGGCCCAGACUCCUACGGGAGGCAGCAGUGGGGAAUAUUGCGCAAUGGGGGCAACCUGAGGCAGCCAUGCCGCGUGAAUGAAGAAGGCCUUCGGGUUGUAAAGUUCUUUCAGUAGCGAGGCGUUAACUAAAGAAGAAGCACCGGCUAACUCCGUGCCAGCAGCCGCGGUAAUUC
rnacentral:rRNA from 1 species